UUAUUUGAUGAAUAGACACCACAAUCGUCUUUUUUUUAUUCCGGCGAUGAUUCCUUUGGAAUAUGUGCCAUGGAUUACAUCAUGCAUCACCAUCUGAUU
rnacentral:snoRNA from 1 species